rnacentral:tRNA from 1 species
GGGGAUGUAGCUCAGCUGGGAGAGCAUCUGCCUUGCACGCAGAGGGUCAGGAGUUCGAUCCUCCUCAUCUCCACCA